CCGGAUGGCUCUGGAGGGGCCCAACCCAGGCUCCUGGCUAGGCUAGAACAACGCGCAGCCAUCUUGCCUCCUCCACAUCCUCGCAUCAGCUCCAAGCCUUGGAGCAUAGACCUCUGCUGGGACCAAGCGCUUCAGUGAAGCUCUGCGAGGUCGUGGGACACAGGAUGAGGAAAGUGCUCAAGUGAGGAGCAAGGCCACGGAGGACAGAAGAAACGCUGCCUGGAGCCACUCAGACAGGACCUUCUCAGCGCCAGUUAUUAUCCUGCUGUCCUGGUGAGCCUGGGACUCACUAUAGAAACAAAGCUGGCUUUAAAAUCAGAGAUCUGCCUGCCUCUGCCUCUCCAUUGCUGAAAUUAACGAUCACCACAUAGUUGGCAGCCC